AGCAACAAAACAAUGCAAUUAUAAUCAAUUUGCUAGGAGUUCAAAUCAACAAGUCAAUUAAUUUACUUGACAAGCCUAUGAGUCAACAUUAUACCUGUUUUCAUUUACUAGCUUAUCAGCAAAUGACAAUAAAACAAAUACAAACUUCACAGCAGAACCCAGCAUAAGGAAUUAACAAUAUGGCACCCCUUGCAUUAGGGAAACCAUUGUUGGUGUAUUAAUUAGUUUAAAUAUCAACCAACUCUGCCAAGUACAUACCAUCAGUUUAACUACAAUAACCCGAAAGAUGUAAAGUUUCUGAUAGCCUUAGUAUAUAUUUAUUGAACUGAUAUACAUCUAAAGCAGGAAUCAAACAUUUUCCAAUUUAAUAAG